ensembl:rRNA 5S_rRNA 5S ribosomal RNA
GCUUACGGGCAUACCAACCUGGCUAUGCCCGAUCUCGUCUGAUCUCGGAAGUUAAGCAGGUUUGGGCCUGGUUAGUACUUGGAUGGGAGACCGCCUGGGAAUACCAGGUGCUGUAAGCU